AUUGAACGCUGGCGGCAGGCCUAACACAUGCAAGUCGAGCGAGCGGCGGACGGGUGAGUAAUGUAUGGGCAUCUGCCUGAUGGAGGGGGAUAACUACUGGAAACGGUAGCUAAUACCGCAUACCAUCGGAUGCACCCAUAUGGGAUUAGCUUGUAGGUGGGGUAACGGCUCACCUAGGCGACGAUCCCUAGCUGGUCUGAGAGGAUGACCAGCCACACUGGGACUGAGACACGGUCCAGACUCCUACGUGAGGCAGCAGUGGGGAAUAUUGCACAAUGGGCGCAAGCCUGAUGCAGCCAUGCCGCGUGUAUGAAGAAGGCCUUCGGGUUGUAAAGUACUUUCAGCCGGGAGGCGUUACCGACAGAAGAAGCACCGGCUAACUCCGUGCCAGCAGCCGCGGUAAUAC
rnacentral:rRNA from 1 species